UCGAGAAUUUUUCACAAUGGGCGAAAGCCUGAUGGAGCGACGCCGCGUGGGGGAUGAAUAGCUUCGGCCCGUAAACCCCUGUCAUUCGCGAGCAAACGUUAUUAUUUAAAAGAUGAUAGCCUGAUAGUAGCGAAAGAGGAAGGGACGGCUAACUCUGUGCCAGCAGCCGCGGUAAUACAGAGGUCCCAAGCGUUGUUCGGAUUUACUGGGCGUAAAGGGUGCGUAGGUGGUGGGGUAAGUCGGAUGUGAAAUCUCCGAGCUCAACUCGGAAAGUGCAUUGGAAACUACCCUGCUCGAGGGUUGGAGGGGGGACUGGAAUACUCGGUGUAGCAGUGAAAUGCGUAGAUAUCAAGUGGAACACCAGUGGCGAAGGCGAGUCCCUGGACAACUCCUGACACUGAGGCACGAAAGCUAGGGGAGCAACCAG
rnacentral:rRNA from 1 species